rnacentral:rRNA from 1 species
AAGCAGCUUGCUGUUUCGCUGACGAGUGGCGGACGGGUGAGUAAUGUCUGGGAAACUGCCUGAUGGAGGGGGAUAACUACUGGAAACGGUAGCUAAUACCGCAUAACGUCGCAAGACCAAAGAGGGGGACCUUCGGGCCUCUUGCCAUCGGAUGUGCCCAGAUGGGAUUAGCUAGUAGGUGGGGUAACGGCUCACCUAGGCGACGAUCCCUAGCUGGUCUGAGAGGAUGACCAGCCACACUGGAACUGAGACACGGUCCAGACUCCUACGGGAGGCAGCAGUGGGGAAUAUUGCACAAUGGGCGCAAGCCUGAUGCAGCCAUGCCGCGUGUAUGAAGAAGGCCUUCGGGUUGUAAAGUACUUUCAGCGGGGAGGAA